CUGGCUUCUUGAGGAAAUGUGUGCUGAGAUGAAUCUAUAAACAUGGCUUUGGAGGUCAAUGUGAUCCAUGUUUGGAGAGAGAGGAAAAAGCUUCAUGGAGCAGUGAAAGGUUGGCCUGAUGCUGCUUACUUGAUUGCCCCGGACAUGAGAGAGUCCACACGUAGACCCUGUGUGACCUUGCCCUCAACUUAUGGUUGGUAAAUAAAGAUCCCGACAGGCGAUAACUGGAAAGAAGAGACACAGGUGUUGAUGAUGUACCAAGCCAGCACAGGCUCCAUUGUCUUCCUGAAGCCAUACCUGAGGCAAGCACCCAACCUCCUUCCCCUGACCUCCGACAUUCCAUAACAGAAGUCCUGUUAGUCUAGGAUCCAAUAAAGAUGUGUGUUUCUCAGA